rnacentral:rRNA from 1 species
UACGGGGGGAGCAAGCGUUGUUCGGAUUUACUGGGCGUAAAGGGCGCGUAGGCGGUCAGCACAAGUCAGUUGUGAAAUCUCCGGGCCUAACUCGGAAAGGUCAACUGAUACUGUGCGACUAGAGUGCGGAAGGGGCAACUGGAAUUCUCGGUGUAGCGGUGAAAUGCGUAGAUAUGCGGAGGAACACCGAUGGCGAAGGCAAUCCCCUGGGCCUGCACUGACGCUCAUGCACGAAAGCGUGGGGAGCAAACAGG